UUGUAGAUAGACUUAGAGACACAGAAUAAAGGUGCCUCAUCACAGCUGGAGAUAUGCAGUCUCUGGAUUUUACAAGGUUAAAUUGACAUGUUAGUGUAGAUCACCAGCUGCUCUCAAAUUGGGGUGCUAGAAGCUGCAGUGAACCGGACUCAAAUGUCUUGUGUGCACAGGGACACCUGGCCAACUACGCUGAUUCCGAUAUAAGUGACACCGUUUUUCCUGGGAAAAUCCUACCCAACAAUGCCAUUAAGAUAAACAAAUCUAAUCUCUACAGAAUGCAACACUGCAAUUUGCUGACGGGAAACAAAAACAAAAACAGAGGAA